rnacentral:rRNA from 1 species
AUGAAUGGCAGUAGCAGUGGCAGGGGCAGGGGAGGGGGAGGGUACGAGAGCGGGAGUGACCAUGACACCCAGAAGCAGCCGGUGCUGGUGAACACGGGGAGCUGGUACAAGAUGGGGUCGCGCCAGUCCAGCCUCAUGGCGGGGACCUCCUCCAUGGCCAUCAUGCGGGAGUCCCACGUCUCCGUCUUCCUCUGCACCAUGAUCGUCGUGCUCGGCCCCAUCCAGUUCGGCUUCACCGACGGCUUCUCCUCCCCCACCCAGGCCGCCAUCAUCCGUGACCUCAACCUCUCCAUCUCCGAGGUCCGUCCUUUGUUCUCCAUUCAUUCAUCGCCCCUCUCUCUGGCUUACUAA